UUGACAACCAGUGGCGUGUAUAGUUCAUCAGCAGCUCCCUCUCACGUGACCCCAUGUCCACGGUCAGAUUCCUGACACGUGGGGAGCUUACAGGCCGCAUCCUGAGCUCAACCGAGUGAUCUGGUUGGACAUGAUGUGUUCAUCAUCAUCAUCUCUUUCUGUCUUAGUCUUUGAAGCUUUAGUUCCAGGCUUCACAGAAUCUUUCAGGUAAUCUUUUGCUUAGUUUGGAAAAAUCAAAGGCACACUCCAGACUAAAGCCCAAGAGAGACUCUUUAGCUUCAAAUCAAAUGGGAUACAUAAUUGUGGUAUCAGCGCCGGUUAUACUGUUCAUAAUGAUUGUAGCCCUUGCAUUUUACCUCCUUGGUAGGGCAACGGGCCGAAGACAAUCAUCUACUGCUCCACAGUAUUUUGGGCCUCCGGUGCCUCCACCCCAAGAGAAGUUCCCCGAGGUCUAGACGUAUUAUAAUCAGCUCAGUUUUCUUUUCAUAGUUUGACAUGUAUGCAUAAACUUUUGUGUUUGUAGCUUAAUGAGUAUACAUUUGUGUACAAGUCAACCCAAGAAUAUAAGGAGGAACGAGAACCAUUUUGAGAGUGCUAAGUUAUGUAUGACUCAUGUCAAGGUUAGGAUUCUGACGUGUUCUAAAGGAUCUACCUCUUUGGUCUUUUCUUUGGUUCCUUCUACGUCAAGUGCUCUUGUUUUUGAGACUUUAGGUCUUUUUCCUUUGUUGUAUACUGAUCGUGUUUCAUCCCUAUUGUAUGGAAACCUCCUAUGUUGGGGUGGACCAAGGUAAAUACUAAUCCGUCAUGUAAGUCUA